rnacentral:lncRNA from 10 species
GGACAAUCAACCCCUUCACAAUCUAGAACCUGAAGACUGGAUCUUCUGAGAAUGUCAGAGAAAGACUGGCCUUGCCAUACACACUGCAACAAAACUUUAGGACCUUGAACCUUGAUUUCAUAAUCUCACACCUGAGAAGUUUCCCUCCACACUCUUGGAACUGUACACCCAUUGGAACCCUAAAGGUAAAGCCAACCAAAGAAGUUUCUCCCUGGAAGGAGAUAGCAUCCUUGAUGUGAACAGCUUUUCCCAAGAUCACAGAUCAAGACUUCUCUACUAUCAUGAGACUCUUAUCUUUGAAUAAUUUUCCCUUGCUUAUGCCUCUGUGAACAAUAGAAGUGAAAGGGAGGGGGAGUCUGUUGUGUGCACUUAUGAGGUAUACUUAUUUCUGAAGGAUUUUGCAGACAGACUUAUACAUGGAUAAACUUCUGCCUUGAUAGAUGAAAGAUGAAGGCCCAAUGUAGGUGGAUGCUUGUAUUGGUUUUCGCUUGGGAGUAUUCGUCUGAGAAAUCACUGCUGCAAAACUGGGAUAGUCUGGCUCAGGAAAAUCAAGCUUUCCAGCCAAGCAAGCCUCUUAGGCUGGGAUUGCAGAGAGUGAACAUCCUUUUUCACCUAGACUUAGGGAACUGAGUCUCAAAGAUGCAGAAACAGCAAUGAAAGCAGCCAUAUCGGUUGGUUGGCAAGAAUAAGGAACAUUAUUUCCCCCCGAUUCCAAGAAGAAUGGAUGGAACACAAAGAAACCAGGGGUCCCUGCUGGGGUCUCAUGCUUCCUGGGGACAUCACCUCCCUCUCUAAAAGGCUGAAGCCAUCACACUUAAGUUUUCAACUUCCCUCUUCCCUCUCCAUUUCAGAGCCUUUUUGUAGCUUCAUCACUCUUCCUUCCUUAAAUCAUCUUUAUCUUUCUGGUCUCUGAGAAGCAAGUGGCCUGUGUCAUGGGCAACUUUCUUAAGUAGAUUUCCUCUCAUCGACAUGAUCAUCUCUCUUCUCUGUACAUUUUCAAGACUUGUAUAUCCCCCAAAAAGUAAAAACCCACCUUCAAGACUGCUACCCUGCGGGUCAAGCCCUCCUACCCUUCUCAGACUCUCUUGUGAAUGACAGCUGGUGAUAAUACAAAAUAAAUAUUUGGUUUCUGUCCCCAGUUCCUGACACUCAGCUCCCCAAACCCACAGACUUUCCAGAGUGAUGAAUGUAUUUUGUUCCUUUGUAAGCAAAUUAGAUGAUUGUUGGCUUGGGGUCCCUACUAGCUCCAAGACAGGGCUGGUGGCCAGGAAGGCCAAGACAUUAUUAGAAUGUUGGAACUUUGAGUCCUACCCCUUAACCAUCCGGGAGGGAAGAGGGGCUGGAAACUGAGUUAAUCAUCAAUGGCCAAUUAUUUAAUUAUGUCAUAAAAUUCCUAAAUGGUGGGGUUUGGAGAGCUUUCAGGUUGGUGAACACAUCAAGGUGCUGGGAGGAUGGUGUGCUCAGAGAGGGCAGGGAAACUCUGCACCCCUCCCCUCAUACCUUACAUCUCCUUGCCUUCCAUCUAUUUGGUUAUUCCUGAGUGGUAUCCUUUAUAAUAAACUGCUAAUAGUAAGUAAAGCACUUAUUUAAGCUCUGUGAGCUGUUUGUCUCCAAAUACUGAUCAACCUUUAAGGAGAAACCAAUCUUAUUCACUCUGCUAUGUUGCCAUCACAUAACAGAGAUUUUGGAGGAAAUUAUAAAGAUGAUUUUUAUUGAAAUCAUCUCUCAAAUUGGUGUGCUCUAUUUAUUAUCAACUCAACUCCCCCAUUUAAAAAAAAAUCAUCAUUCACUCACUUAUCUUCUCUCCAGCCAUCACCCUUUUGUUCUCCUCUUCUUUCUAUUCCAACUUCUCAUAAUGUUGCCUACUUUCUAUCUCCAGCUCCUAAUUUUUCAAGCCAUUCUCAAUGGCUUCUGUCCCCACCACUUCCUAAAACAGCCCUUCCUAAGGUCAUCAAAAAACUAUUUGUCACUAUAAGCAAUAAACUUUUUUUAAUCCUCAAUUUUACUUAAUUUCUCAUUGGUAUUUGAUAAUGUUAAUCACUUCUUUCUUCUUUCUUCUUGAAAUGCUGUUUUCACUUCCUGGAUAUCCCUCUGGUUCCCUGGUUCUUCUCUGGCUCCAUUGCAGGAUCAUGCUCCUUUAUUCAACCAAUAUUUGUUGGAUUUCUUCAAGACUGGUUCUAGGUCUUCUUUACUCACUGUAUCCUCUAUUCCAAAGCACCAUCAGCCAUGCCUCUGGCUUCUAUUAUCACCUGUUAGUAGAUGACUAACACAUUUACAUCUUUAGCCUAGACCUGUCCUCCGAGUUCCAGUCCAUUAUUUUCAUUUACCUGCUGGAUCUACCCUCAUGGACAUCUCAAAAUCUCCUGAGGCUCAAUAUAAGCAAAAGCGAACUCAUUGCUGUGUCAGUCAACAUCUUGGCAGGAAGAAAUUGCACCUCCUAUUGAAAAUAAGAAUUUGACAAAAAAAUGUUAAUAAAAGGACUUUUUGCCAAGGUGUGGACAUGGUUAAAAUAAACCAACAACGAACAGUAAGCUGGUGAAAUAAAUACUCUGAUAUCACCCUCUCUGCCCCGUGACCUCCUGACCAUUGGCAAAACCAAGCCAGACACUAGAAAAUAUGGAAGCUUGUUGAGGCAUAGAGGUCAGCCUUCUAGGGCUCAGAUCAGGGUGGAAAGGGAAUGGAACUAAAGGGACAAAUGAACAAUAUUCAGCAUGAUGAUUGUGUUAGUCCCGUUUGCAUUGCUAUAAAGGAAUACCUGAUGGAUAAUUUAUAAAGAGAGGUUUAUUUUGCUCACAAUUCUGCAGAGUGUACAAGAAGCAUGGCACCAACAUCUGCUUCUGGUGAGGCCUCAGGAAGCUUUUACUCAUGGCAGAAGACAAAGGGGAGCCAGUGUGUCACAUGGCGAGAGAGGAUCACAUCGUGAGAGAGGGUGCAAGAGAGAGGCCAUCUUCUUUUAAAACAAUUAGCUCUUGCAUGAACUAAUAGAACAAAAAUACACUCAUUACCAUGGGGAAGGCACGAAGCUAUUCAUGAGGGAUCUGAUCCCAUGACCCAAACACCUCCUGCUACCCACUAGGCCCCAUUUCCAACAUCAGGGCUUACAUUUCAACAUGAGAUUUGGAGGGGACAAACAACCAAACCAUAUCAAGGAUCUUCCAAUCAAAACAAGUUUUCUUGCAUCAUUCCCUACUUGGGGAAUGGUACCACCAUCAUCCAGCCAAUCAAACCAGAAACGUAGAAUUUUCUUAAUGUUUGUUCUGCCUUUUCCUGCAGACCCAUGCCAUCGAAUGUCCUAGCAGAACUCCUCAGAACAAUCUGGCUUAAACUAUUUCGACACAACCUGCUUCAGAUUUACACAUACCUCUCAUUCAUAG